rnacentral:lncRNA from 1 species
AAAAAUCCCGAGAUGCAUUCAAUAAAUAAUAGUACGUCUUUACUUGCUAAUUGCACAAUUCAAUUGUCUAACAUGCAUCUCAAUUAUCUAAUAAUCACUAAUCUACUCUAAUCUAACCACCUAAUUGCAUUUAAUUAAAUCUAAUGAACCCUUAAGCAUCAAUAGUCUACUAAGCAAUGAUUAGUGAGAUUACUCACUUGAUUAAAAGCGGGGACUAGGACACCGCGAUGGCGGCGGGCUUUCACAUCACCGGCAGGCUUGGACCGGGCCUUAAACUUGGGCCCAACAAAUCUCAGCCUAACUGAGAUUUGUUCUUACACUGGAUUGGGCUCACUCUUGGGCUUGGGCUUGACUGCGAUUGGGCCUUCUUCGCGAGCUGGACUUAGGCCAAACUUGCUGAAUUGGGUUCAAUGGAGUUGCUGGAUUUUUGGGCCAAAGACUUGGGCUGUUGGACUAUUUACUGGGCUGAUAUGCUGCAGAGAAGAUGGGCCCGUGAAACCUGGGCUAGACUGAGCUGAAUGCGCUUGGGUGGUUGAUGCGGGCAAAAGAAGACGGAAGCUGCUAGAACUGCUGGGCUGCUGGGCUUCAAGCUUCAGUGGGGUGUAGCUCGCGGAUGAAGGGGCAGCUGGCAACGGUAGCUAGCUUCGGACGUUGAUGCUGGAUGAAGGAGGAGGUGGCCUUCGGUGGAGAUAAUUCGUUGGUGAUGUGGGCUGAUUGAGGAAACACGAGCGUGGAGAAGCAGCUAUUGGCGAAGCUUCGACAGUGCUGGAGCUGCAAAAACAAUGGAGGGUGUUGCUGGCAACAGAUCCAUGCAUGGGCAUGGGCUUUUGCGGUCAACCAAGGAGCUUCGGUUGCUGCCGCUGUUGAGCGAACCAAGAGCAGACAUUGCCAAGUGGCAGCAAGGCCAAGCUGCUCGGUCAAAUUAGGAGUCUCAGUGGUCUUCAAUAGGCACUAGGGUUGACUGGCACGCUGGUAGCGAGAGAGAAGACACAGAGCAGCAAGCUUCAACGUGGAACUACUGCAGGUCUUCGGUGCUGGGGUUGGACCAAAUGUGGCUGAUGAAGACACGAAGCACGGAGUAGCUUCAGUGAAGACAUUGCUGCUAUUGACUAAAGGGAACGCGUGGAGAUGGCUGUCUUCACUGGCACCAAUUCGGUGGGAAGGGCAAAGAUCAGUGGAGCAGUAGCAUGAGGGGCAGGGAAGUUCGGCUCUGGCGAGAGAAAAUGAAAACAGGGCCGAAGACCGUGAAGCUCGAAGAUGCGUAGAAGGCAAGGCAGCGGUCAGGACGUGCG